GAUGAACGCUAGCUACAGGCUUAACACAUGCAAGUCGAGGGGCAGCAUGUCGGUUGCUUGCAACCGAUGAUGGCGACCGGCGCACGGGUGAGUAACGCGUAUCCAACCUACCCUUGUCCAUCGGAUAACCCGUCGAAAGGCGGCCUAACACGAUAUGCGGUUCACCGCAGGCAUCUAAGGUGAACGAAAUGUGAAGGAGAAGGAUGGGGAUGCGUCUGAUUAGCUUGUUGGCGGGGUAACGGCCCACCAAGGCGACGAUCAGUAGGGGUUCUGAGAGGAAGGUCCCCCACAUUGGAACUGAGACACGGUCCAAACUCCUACGGGAGGCAGCAGUGAGGAAUAUUGGUCAAUGGACGGGAGUCUGAACCAGCCAAGUAGCGUGCAGGACGACGGCCCUAUGGGUUGUAAACUGCUUUUAUAGGGGGAUAAAGUGUGCCACGUGUGGCAUAUUGCAGGUACCCUAUGAAUAAGGACCGGCUAAUUCCGUGCCAGCAGCCGCGGUAAUACGGAAGGUCCGGGCGUUAUCCGGAUUUAUUGGGUUUAAAGGGAGCGUAGGCCGUCUUAUAAGCGUGUUGUGAAAUGUCGGGGCUCAACCUGGGCAUUGCAGCGCGAACUGUGAGACUUGAGUGCGCAGGAAGUAGGCGGAAUUCGUCGUGUAGCGGUGAAAUGCUUAGAUAUGACGAAGAACUCCGAUUGGGAAGGCAGCCUGCUGUAGCGCAACUGACGCUGAACCUCAAAGGCGUGGGUAUCGAACAGG
rnacentral:rRNA from 1 species